rnacentral:rRNA from 1 species
CCUACGGGUGGCAGCAGUGAGGAAUAUUGGUCAAUGGGCGCGAGCCUGAACCAGCCAAGUCGCGUGAGGGAAGACGGCCCUACGGAUUGUAAACCUCUUUUGUCGGGGAGCAAAAGACGCCACGCGUGCCGUUCCGAGAGUGCCCCAAGAAAAAACAUCCGGUAACUUCGUGCCAGCAGCCGCGGGAAUACGGAGGAGGCGCGCGUUAUCCGGAUUUAUUGGGUUUAAGGGGUGAGCAGGCGGAUGAUAAAGGCAGCGGUAAAAUUGAGAGGCUCAACCUCGUCGAGCCGUUGAAACUGGUGGUCUUGAGUGAGCGAGAGGAAGGCGGAAUGCGUGGUGUAGCGGUGAAAUGCAUAGAUAUCACGCAGAACUCCGAUUGCGAAGGCAGGAUUCCGGCGCUCAACUGACGCUGAGGCACGAAAGUGCGGGUAUCGAACAGGAUUAGAUACCCUGGUAGUC